rnacentral:rRNA from 1 species
CCUACGGGUGGCAGCAGUGAGGAAUAUUGGUCAAUGGACGAGAGCCUGAACCAGCCAAGCAGCGUGAAGGAUGACUGCCCUAUGGGUUGUAAACUUCUUUUAUAAAGGAAUAAAACGAGGCACGUGUGCCUUUUUGCAUGUACUUUAUGAAUAAGGAUCGGCUAACUCCGUGCCAGCAGCCGCGGUAAUACGGAGGAUCCGAGCGUUAUCCGGAUUUAUUGGGUUUAAAGGGAGCGUAGAUGGGUUGUUAAGUCAGUUGUGAAAGUUUGCGGCUCAACCGUGAAAUUGCAAUUGAUACUGGCAGGCUUGAGUACAGUAGAGGUAGGCGGAAUUCGUGGUGUAGCGGUGAAAUGCUUAGAGAUCACGAAGAACCCCGAUGGCGAAGGCAGCUUACUAAACUGUGACUGACAUUGAUGCUCGAAAGUGUGGGGAGCAAACAGGAUUAGAUACCCUAGUAGUC